rnacentral:rRNA from 1 species
CUAAGGCUCCGGAGGAAGCCACGGCUAACUCUGUGCCAGCAGCCGCGGUAAUACAGAGGCGGCAAGCGUUGUUCGGAAUUAUUGGGCGUAAAGAGCACGUAGGCGGCCUUGUAAGUCAGUUGUGAAAGCCUUCUGCUCAACGGAAGAACAGCAUCUGAUACCGCAAGGCUAGAGUGCGGAAGGGGAGAGUGGAACUCCUGGUGGAGCGGUGAAAUGCGUAGAUAUCAGAAGGAACACCGGCGGCGAAGGCGACUCUCUGGUCCGUAACUGACGCUGAGUGUGCGAAAGCUAGGGGAGCAAACGGGAUUAGAUACCCCGGUAGUCCUAGCCGUAAA